AGAAAGGUAAGCUAAAAUUAAGCUAAUAGGUUCAUACCCUACUUAUAGAGAAAACUCUCCUCUCUA
rnacentral:tRNA from 1 species